CCACCUUCCCUAGUUUCUCUUUUCCUUGAAUGCAUUCAAGAACAUUCUCUUUGUUUAAAUCAUCCUCUUCAACUUGUUCCGCAGCGCUACCCUAAGCCUUGGGAUUAGGGCUUUUAACUGAUUAAGUUUCGUUUCUUGGAGUUGGAGGAAUCCGCAAUCUGCUUUCCCUCACUGUGCUCCCAUCCAUUCAAUUAGAGCUUGUAUUUAGAUCUAAAUCUCAUCAUUGCGGCAUCUUUCCCUCCCUAAGAAACUCAAUUCUUGACCGCCAAGAAAUCAUGAAUGGCCUACUUUGCAUGAAAAGAAGGCAGGCAUUUCUCUCCCUUGAGUUCUAACAUGAAGUACAAAGUCAUGGCAAAGCUAACUCACCUCAGAAGCCGCAAUAUUAUUACACAAACCUUGUGCCAGUUAUUGCAUUUAUGGUUUACUUAAAUGUUACACCUCUUUCAAUUGAUUGAGUUCACUCCAUCCGUCAAAGCAAAUGAAUGAGAAGCUUAAAACUAGAUACUGUUUUAACAUUUCUCUGAAUUGUUGCAUGUUUGAUUUAGUACUUGCUGAACCUAUAACAAUCAUUUUAACCUAUCCACUGUUAUGCACUUGUUCCAGCCAGAGGGAAGCUGUUGAAGUUCGUAGAGAAAGCCAUCAAAUCCAAGUGAUAAAAAUGUUAUACGCCUUCCAAUAAAAAUAGUCAUAUCUACAACUCAAGCCUAAAGCUCUCAAAAAACAGAGGCUUCAAAACAUUCAACUGGGCCCAUUCACCGAAAAUCCUAGCUGAAGACGACUAAAAACUAUACAGAUACAUUUACAAAAACUAUACACUCAACGUACACCAAAAUUCACAGUUAUGUUACAUGAAACCGUGGGACAGUCCCUUGCUGCUGCCUCAUCUCUGCAGGAUGAGUUGAAUAUACAGGUCCCAUUAGUUUCCUCAGCAGAUGCUGGUGAUCUCUUUUUCUCCUCACGGUACAAGUUGACACACCUCAUGCAAACAAACUUAGAAGGCAUGCCAUCAGAAUUAUGAAUUCCAGCGCAUCUGGUAUGCUGCCAAACGCCACAGG